UUUUUUUAUAUAAAAAGGAAGUGUUGAAUUAUUUUUUUAAAUAGUUCUGAAAUUAAUCUGUUAUUUUAGAGUCAACAUCUCACAUUUAAAACAAGAAAACCCCAAAAAUCUUGAAAGAUGGGAAACAUAAAUGUAUCAGUCCUUCUAUUGUUUGUCAAAGCUGUAUGUUUGUUUGCUUAAAAAUUCAUCUAUGCAGGAAUUGUGGAUGAGCUCAGGGGAAGUAAACACGAGUAGGAAGAACUGAUUUCUGGUUCCCCACCAAAAACAAUCUUUCUGUUGGAGGCACUUCUAUACCCGGGGCUGUGAAACAGUUUAAACCUUGGAUAUAGGAACCAGAACAACACAAAGCUAAAGGACUUACCACGGUUGGAUUCUCAGUCAGGAAGCAGAGAUCACAGAGCUUUACGGUUUUAUUUCGACACAGGAGUUUUAAACAUCCGGUCAGUGGGAUCAAGUACACUACAUCACAGGUUUCAACCAACCAGACACUCAUCAACAAACAGCAUCACCAGACAAACAGG